rnacentral:misc_RNA from 1 species
UCCGUGUUAACCACGGCAGUCUCCUUAGAGAGCCCAACUGAAUGCUGGCAACUAAGGACAAGGGUUGCGCUCGUUGCGGGACUUAACCCAACAUGUCACCACACGAACUGACGACAGCCAUGCAGCACCUGUGUCCCUGCGGUAUUGCUACCGAGACCGUAUCUCUACGGCUGUCAGGGCAUGUCAAACCCAGGUAAGGUUCUUCGCGUUGCUUCGAAUUAAACCACAUGAUCCACCGCUUGUGCGGGCCCCCGUCAAUUCCUUUGAGUUUUAGUCUUGCGACCGUACUUCCCAGGCGGGGUACUUAUUGCGUUAGCUCCGGCUCGGCAGGGGUCAAGACCCACCAAGCCUAGUACCCAUCGUUUACGGCGUGGACUAC